rnacentral:rRNA from 1 species
GACGAACGCUGGCGGCGUGCUUAACACAUGCAAGUCGAACGAAGUGGCGAACGGGUGAGUAACGCGUAAUCAACCUGCCCUUCAGAGGGGGACAACAGUUGGAAACGACUGAUAAAACCGCAUACGGAAGGAGGGGAUGGCGUCUGAUUAGCUAGUUGGAGGGGUAACGGCCCACCAAGGCGAUGAUCAGUAGCCGGUCUGAGGUGAUUAACGGCCAAAUUGGGACUUGGGCACGGCCCAGACUCCUUCGGGAGGCAGCAGUGGGGAAUCUUCCGCAAUGGACGGAAGUCUGACUGAACAACGCCGCGGGAGAGAUGACGGCCUUCGGGUUGUAAAGCUCUGUUAAGCGGGACGCGGUACCGGAAUAUAAAGCCACGGCUAACUACGUGCCAGCAGCCGCGGUAAUUC